rnacentral:rRNA from 1 species
AACACAUGCAAGUCGAGCGGUAACAGAGAGUAGCUUGCUACUUUGCUGACGAGCGGCGGACGGGUGAGUAAUGCUUGGGAACAUGCCUUGAGGUGGGGGACAACAGUUGGAAACGACUGCUAAUACCGCAUAAUGUCUACGGACCAAAGGGGGCUUCGGCUCUCGCCUUUAGAUUGGCCCAAGUGGGAUUAGCUAGUUGGUGAGGUAAUGGCUCACCAAGGCGACGAUCCCUAGCUGGUUUGAGAGGAUGAUCAGCCACACUGGGACUGAGACACGGCCCAGACUCCUACGGGAGGCAGCAGUGGGGAAUAUUGCACAAUGGGCGCAAGCCUGAUGCAGCCAUGCCGCGUGUGUGAAGAAGGCCUUCGGGUUGUAAAGCACUUUCAGUCAGGAGGAAAGGUUAGUAGUUAAUACCUGCUAGCUGUGACGUUACUGACAGAAGAAGCACCGGCUAACUCCGUGCCAGCAGCCGCGGUAAUACGGAGGGUGCGAGCGUUAAUCGGAAUUACUGGGCGUAAAGCGUACGCAGGCGGUUUGUUAAGCGAGAUGUGAAAGCCCUGGGCUCAACCUGGGAACUGCAUUUCGAACUGGCAAACUAGAGUGUGAUAGAGGGUGGUAGAAUUUCAGGUGUAGCGGUGAAAUGCGUAGAGAUCUGAAGGAAUACCGAUGGCGAAGGCAGCCACCUGGGUCAACACUGACGCUCAUG